CCGUCUUGAAACACGGACCAAGGAGUGCAACAUGUGCGCGAGCCCUUUGGCGAGCAAACCAGAAGGCGCAAUGAAAGUGAAGGCACGGUCGCCGUGCUGAGGUGAGCGCUGUCCCGAAGGCAGCACAUCAUCGACCGAUCCCAUUCGCACUCUCGGGUGCGGAGGGAUUCGAGUAAGAGCGUACCUGUUGCGACCCGAAAGAUGGUGAACUAUGCCUGAAUAGGGUGAAGCCAGAGGAAACUCUGGUGGAGGCCCGUAGCGAUUCUGACGUGCAAAUCGAUCGUCAAAUUUGGGUAUAGGGGCGAAAGACUAAUCGAACCAUCUAGUAGCUGGUUCCCUCCGAAGUUUCCCUUAGGAUAGCUGUAGCCCUAAGCAGUUUUAUCAGGUAAAGCGAAUGAUUAGAGGUAUCGGGGAAGAAACUUCCUCGACCUAUUCUCAAACUUUAAAUAGGUAAGAAGUCCGACUUGCUCAAUUUGAAGCCGGACACAGAAUGCUGGGUUACUAGUGGGCCAUUUUUGGUAAGCAGAACUGGCGAUGCGGGAUGAACCGAACGCCGAGUUAAGGUGCCAAAGUCGACGCUCAUCAGAUCCCACAAAAGGUGUUGGUUGAUAUAGACAGCAGGACGGUGGCCAUGGAAGUCGGAAUCCGCUAAGGAGUGUGUAACAACUCACCUGCCGAAUCAACUAGCCCUGAAAAUGGAUGGCGCUUA
rnacentral:rRNA from 1 species